rnacentral:piRNA from 1 species
UGAGCAUUGAACCUAUGGGAACAAUGAGCAA